rnacentral:snRNA from 1 species
AUAGUUACUUGGCAGGGGAGAUACCAUGAUCACGAAGGUGGUUUUCUUAGGGUGAGGCUUAUCCAUUGCACUCCGGAUGUGCUGACCCCUGCGAUUUCCCCAAAUGUGGGAAACUUGACUGCAUAAUUUGUGGUAGUGGGGGACUGCGUUCGCACUUUCCCCUA